GCCGGCCUUCGCCCGCCGGGGCCGGCAGUACCGGCGGGGACCGGCCGCGCCCUCCCUCCUUCCCCCGCUCCUGAGGACUGCCAGCCGGCCACCGCCCCCUGCCACGACGGUAUUGCCUUUGCUCAUGCGGCGGAGGCUUAUGGCUUGUUGGCAACACCUUCAGUUACUGCGUGAGGUGCUGCUACAUUUCACGCCAGCCUCGGAUUUUUUUAGUAUGUUUUCGCUGUUUUCAGCUUCUUGAGACCGUUGUGGAAAGAACGCAUGCUUUACAGAAAUUGUAGCUUUGUUUCCAGUGGAGGUCCCAAGAUGAAAUCUGUGAGACUGUAUCUCUGGAGGGCAAGAGUUUCAGGAUGAAAAAAAGAAUAUCCGGCCCUUGACAAGGAAGUAGCAAAUUCCUAUAGUUUGGAAAGAGAUUCCAAGAACCACGUAUCUGUUCACGGAAGAAUAGGUAGCGCUGCUUCAUGCACCUGCUAUGGAGGGCAGUCAUACUACUCUUAAAUACUUGGAGAAGAUAUCUGCAUCCUAUUGGAAAAGGGCAGAUGGAAGACCCCGUUUUCUGCUUGUUCAUAACUUUUUACUCAGGCAUGGAGAGAUGUCUUUGGGAUGGUCUCAGCUUGCUUUCAACUACCCAGUCAUUAUUGCAAAGAAGAUGCUACAGGUGGCCACAGACAAUGUCAGCAGGGCUGGGUGUGUUAGAUUUAUUCCCCUGAGCUAACCUUGCACAACAUCUGCCAGUCCAAGUUGAUACCAGCUUUUCUGAUCAAAGGCAGUUCUGUCUACUGUCCAUCUGCGUUAUCCUUGAAUUGAGAAAUCUGGUGAAAAGCCUGGUGUUAAGAACUCCACCUCCCAAAGAGUUUGUACUGAGCUCCUAAACGCAUGUUGUAUGUUGUUUCACAGUCUCUUACAAAGACCAGUAGUUCCCAGUGUAAAACAGACAAGGUAGCUGCUUUUCUUUCUUGCUAGAAGGAAAUUAGCUAGAGUAUCUUCACUACCAUAUUUAACUCUUUGCUGGGGAUAUAUAAAUAAAGUGUAUUCCUUUUUACAUCUGUGUGUAAGCAAGUAAGUCUAAAAAUAUUUGUGUAGUUAUCUGUGCAUUUAUACGUAUGUAUACGCAUACUUCACAUGUCUUUUCCUAAAUGAAAUAGUUUGCUUUCAAGAACAAAUUGCUUAUAAAUGAAAAAAGAUGCUGUGUAUGUUAAAAAUACUUAUUUUUUUCUGCCAUUUGUGCCUGGAAUAAGAUAAUUUGUGUGGGUUUUUUUUGUUGUUGGUUUUAAUUUUUUAAUCAAUUAGAAAAUAUAAAAGCAGACAUAAAGGGCUGUGGCUCUCAAGA